rnacentral:rRNA from 1 species
UACGGGGGGGGCAAGCGUUGUUCGGAAUUACUGGGCGUAAAGGGCUCGUAGGUGGCCAACUAAGUCAGACGUGAAAUCCCUCGGCUUAACCGGGGAACUGCGUCUGAUACUGGAUGGCUUGAGUAUAGUUGCCGUUGGCGGAAUAUGACAUGUAGUGGUGAAAUACAUAGAGAUGUCAUAGAACACCGAUUGCGAAGGCAGCUAACGAAACUAUAACUGACACUGAGGCUCGAAAGUGCGGGGAUCAAACAGG